CUCAAAGAUACACUUUAGAUAUCUACUGGACUAGUUGCUGGUGAAUUACAUUGACAGAGGAUGCUCAAAGAUACACUUUAGAUAUCUACUGGACUAGUUGCUGGUGAAUUACAUUGACAGAGGAUACUCAAAGAUACACUGCAGAUAUCUACUGGACUAGUUGCUGGUGAAUGACAUUGACAGAGGAUGCUCAAAGAUACACUGUAGAUAUCUACUGGACUAGUUGCUGGUGAAUUACAUUGACAGAGGAUGCUCAAAGAUACACUGUAGAUAUCUACUGGACUAGUCGCUGGUGAAUGACAUUGACAGAGGAUGCUCAAAGAUACACUGUAGAUAUCAACUGGACUAGUUGCUGGUGAAUUACAUUGA